rnacentral:lncRNA from 1 species
AUGGGGGACUAUCUUGUCUGUCUUCCGAUAUUCACCUAUGAGCUUCACAUUUGUUCAAAAGGACUGUGGGAGAAUGAAUUUCGUAGAGCUCACAGAGUAAUAAUAAUAAGGAUCAACGGUUGGAAGCUAUGUCUUUGAAGAGAGGUUACAUGAGUGGAAGUGAUUUUAUUUAAAGGAAACAUAGAAAUACUCAGGAAGGGCGGAUCUAAUGAAACACAAUGCAGCAUGCUACGUGAAGUAGGUCUGUAUGUAGGCUGAGUGGUUUCUCUUCUCCAUGCGCCUAUCAGCCCAGAGGCUGAUCCUGUCUAAUGCCUCCCUUCAAGUCCAGCAUUAUCUCUGAUGCUAGAACUAAGGCCAGCAGUCAUUCACUGCCUCUAUAGCAACAUCAAAGUUAUACUCACCCCUUUUAAGACUAUCACUAAAUAAAUGCUUACUGCAUAUCAGGCAAUGAGCCAAGUGCACUUCAUGUAUCAUUCAUACACUCAGUAAAUAUUUUUCAAGUGCCUCUUGUGUGCCAGGCAGCCUACCCUUGGUAUUUUGAAUAUGUUAGUGAAUAAUACAGACAGAAAAUCUUGCCUCAUAGAACUGAUACACUAGUGAGCAGAGAUAGAUAACAAACAUAAUCAAUAAGUAAGUUAUAGAGUGCAUAGGAAGGUGGUAAAUGUGAGAAAAAAGAGCAGGGAAAGUGGAAAGAGUAUGUGUGUAUUAGGGGAGGUGGGAUGUCAUCUUAAAUGCAUUGGUCAGGAUGGACUUUACUGAGAAGGUGAUAUGUGAGCAAAGAUUUGAAGCUCAUGAGCUAGGUAACAAUGUGGAUAUCUGGACAAAGAGCAUGUUGACCAGAAGAAACAAUUAUCUUAGAGGCUCUAGGUCAAGAAUGUGUUUGUUGAGUUUGAGAAGCAGUAGAAAUCAGAAUGGCUGAGCACUGGGGCUUGAGGACUGAUUUUAUGGGGGCUUUGGACCAUGAAAAGGACUUUGACUUGGAAUAAAAUAGGGAGCAGCUGGAGGAUUUGAGCAGAGAGGUGUCAUGUAUGACAUUUUAAAAGGAUCACUCUGGAAAGGGAAACAAGAGUGGAAUCAGGGUAAUGAGCUAGGAUGUGAUUGUUCCUAUAUAAUAAGGCAGGUGAGCAAAGAUCCGGGACUCAGAGCAAAUAGUAACGAAAGAAGCCAUGAGAAUUCAUCAGAAACUGGAUAUUUGUCCUGAACACAGAGCAGCAGGCUUAUCUGGAAGUGUUGUGUGAGAAAGAGGGGAAUCAAGGAUGACUCUAAGAUUUAUUAAAUGCAAUUAACCUUUACAGCUAGAUAGGUUAUGUUAUCAUCUCUAUUUUACAGCUGUGGAAACUGAAGCUUAGGGAGAUAUUAACUUUAGAAUAUUUAGCUAGUAAGCAUCAGAGCUGGGAUUUGAACCCACUUUUGUCUGAGUCCAAAGGCUGGGCCUCUUAACCAUAAUGCUGUAUGGCAUCUAGAGGCAUUGAUCUAUUACUGAGCACUCUGACCUAAGAUCUCCGAGAAACGGAUCUCAGGUGUGUUUUCCCAUUACUCAGUACCUAUUUUGAACACCAAUUUCCAUUAACAUGCUUCCAUGCUUUAAACCCUAGUUUGCUAGUGACUAUACUCCUACCCCCCAACACUUUCUCUUCUUAGAGUUUCCCACUUCUGAAGCCUGUUGCUUGCUUAGCUUUCUCAAUCUCCUGGCCACCAGAGCAUCUAUAAUUGGCUUGAUUUGUUCCAUGAUUUUGAACCCAAUUUAGACUUCUGCCAAAAGUGUUCCCCAUUGGUAAACUUUCACAUUCUAGAACUAUUUUCUAAUGUAUUUGUCCUCUUAGACCCAUCUUAUUUUUGGCCACACCCACAGAAUGUGGAACUUCUCAGGCCAAGGAUGGAACCUGCGCCAUAGCUGUGACCCAAGCCACUGAAGUGACAACACUGGAUCCUUAACCCACUGUGUCACAAGAGAACUCUAUCUCUUAGAGCCAUUUUAGAUUAACUGACUCCUGAAUGCUUAAAAAAGGAAAACCGUGUGAUUUUCCUUGAGGAGGAGGGAAGCGUAUCGGACUGGGAGCCAUGCUGACAGUGACAUCCUUGGGAUCACUACAUUUUCCCCAGUCAUGAUGGGUGAGAAAGGUAUGACAAAAACAACCAGCUUAGAGGCCACCAGACAGGACAAAUUCUGAUUUGUUGGCUAGUGACACCUGGCUUCCAGGAAGCCUUGCCCAUGUUUUACCUUCUUCAACUUGAGCAACUUUGUGUCUCCUUAUAUCUCCCUUGGCCGCUUCAAGCAAACUUGUAAUGAGCUAAUGGCAUUACCUGAAAAACCAGCAUUGAAAUUCCUCCUACAGAGUAAACUCUCAACCCUGGGGGAAAUAUGUGAUAGGUGCUUAGGGCAGAAGAUGAGUAUCUCAAUGGCUGGGGCGUCUCAUAGGAGGGUGAAACUGCCAAGCACAGUGGAGAGAAAGUGAAGCUCCUGGUUGAUGGUGGAGGAGGAGAAGGGGAGCAGAGAUGAACAAAGGUGGACAAGGGUGAGGAAAGAUAAAGCCAUUGAACUAGAAGAAGGCUAUUGAUGACACAGUAUGACUCUUCACACUGCAUCACCACAGCUUACAAUCACCACCAAAAUCUACUUGUCCCAGAAGGCUUUAUGUGAAUGAAAUUUGUUAUACAUCUAAAGAAGGGCCUCGGUUUUAGGUUAGGGGACUGCAUAGUGUGAGACAGAGGCAUUGUGUGAAGGAGACAGAACCAAGGGGCCUAAGGGGCAGGACAGAACAUUGGGUACCACCGAUUCCCAAAGAGAACCAAAAAGGCUCAAGGCAGUUUCACCUAGAUCUCAGAGGCUAGGAGAUUUCUGUUAUUUCUGUAGUAUGUCAAAUGAAUUUAAUCUUCAUCCAUUUAUUUUCUCAUGUUAAUUUCAUUUUCUCUGCCUGAAAAUACUCCAGUUUCAACAUUUGUACAUACUGAAAUCUUGCUCAACUCAAAAAUACCUCCAUUGGGGUCAAAUCCCAUUGAUCGUUCCAGCAUGAAAUGAACUUUCAUCUAUUGCCUGUAUGUCUUUUUGUUGUUGUUGUUGCAAAAGUUCCUGGGCCAGGGAUUGAAACUGUGGCACAUCAGUGACCUGAACCAAAGCAGUGACAAUGCAGGAUCCUUAACCCACUGCGCCACAAGAUAGCUCCUCAAGUUGUGUUUUAAGCUUCCAGAAAACAGAGAUUUCUUGAAUUUUUAAAAUAAGUAACUUAUAUAGUCUUCCAUAGGAAGUCCUCUUCCUUUGGCUUGCUAACCUCUAGAUUGACUCACUCUCCUUCAUGGUCACUCAUCAUUAGUUUAUGUAUUUUCACAUAUUCAAGUUUAUGACAAGUUGGUAUUUGAUCAAAUUUAAGCCCCUUGAAAUAAAAAUUAAUAUCAAAAUGAUAUACAUUAUUUCUGUCAGAAUUAAA